CACGGCUUCGACGGAAAUGCGUGAGGUAAAGAGGCAUACCGGGGUGCACACACCCGUAAUCGCGUGCAAAAACAUAGUUGCCAAUCAACAGAUGGCAUACGCUGCUUAAUUAAUUAAGUAGCCGCUCUCUUCCGCUUUGUCCGUGGGCGGGAGCAGGGCGUCGCACAGCGGACUGGCUUUUGCCGCGUGUCUGGGUGGCGAAGGCGAGACUUACAGGUGCCUUUGUAGGGCAAGAACAUUUUUAUCUUCAGCGGUUUGAGCGCGGCU
rnacentral:tmRNA from 1 species